UUUAUCGGAGUGGUUAACAUUCGAGUUAUCAUCUCAUAGCCAUGUCUGUGGUGCGUGUUAUGACAAGAUAUCAAGAUGUCUUGCAACGAACUCCAGGGAAAGACAACUCGGUCAUAUCAAUGUUUGUUGUGGCUGUGGUAAAUCAGUUACAUGUGCCAAAAGACACGAAAUUCUGGAGGGAAGCCCUCUCGCCUCAGUUGUAUCACUGUGGCAGUACUUACAUGAUGACAUGUUAGAGCAGCCAACUUUUUAUGUCAUGGUUGUUACAUGAGAGCUAACAGCGAAGUGAGCCGAAGAAUGAUUACUGAUUCCAACCAUUUUCACGCCUUAGAAGAUCACCAACCUGAUCAAAUAAUCCAAAUACCAAUUCCUCCACCACCUCCUCCACAACUUCCUCCACCACUUGCUCCACAACUUCAUUUUGGCCCAGGUCAAGAUGUUUCAUCAAUUGCCCUACCUAAUUAUAGAUGUUGUGCUAAU